GGUGAGUAAUGUCUGGGAAACUGCCCGAUGGAGGGGGAUAACUACUGGAAACGGUAGCUAAUACCGCAUAACGUCGCAAGACCAAAGAGGGGGACCUUCGGGCCUCUUGCCAUCGGAUGUGCCCAGAUGGGAUUAGCUAGUAGGUGGGGUAACGGCUCACCUAGGCGACGAUCCCUAGCUGGUCUGAGAGGAUGACCAGCCACACUGGAACUGAGACACGGUCCAGACUCCUACGGGAGGCAGCAGUGGGGAAUAUUGCACAAUGGGCGCAAGCCUGAUGCAGCCAUGCCGCGUGUAUGAAGAAGGCCUUCGGGUUGUAAAGUACUUUCAGCGAGGAGGAAGGUGUUGAGGUUAAUAACCUCAGCAAUUGACGUUACUCGCAGAAGAAGCACCGGCUAACUCCGUGCCAGCAGCCGCGGUAAUACGGAGGGUGCAAGCGUUAAUCGGAAUUACUGGGCGUAAAGCGCACGCAGGCGGUCUGUCAAGUCGGAUGUGAAAUCCCCGGGCUCAACCUGGGAACUGCAUCCGAAACUGGCAGGCUAGAGUCUUGUAGAGGGGGGUAGAAUUCCAGGUGUAGCGGUGAAAUGCGUAGAGAUCUGGAGGAAUACCGGUGGCGAAGGCGGCCCCCUGGACAAAGACUGACGCUCAGGUGCGAAAGC
rnacentral:rRNA from 1 species